rnacentral:rRNA from 2 species
CUACUCUGCUGACGAGCGGCGGACGGGUGAGUAAUGCUUGGGAAUAUGCCUUAUGGUGGGGGACAACAGUUGGAAACGACUGCUAAUACCGCAUGAUGUCUACGGACCAAAGUGGGGGACCUUCGGGCCUCACGCCAUAAGAUUAGCCCAAGUGGGAUUAGCUAGUUGGUGAGGUAAUGGCUCACCAAGGCGACGAUCCCUAGCUGGUUUGAGAGGAUGAUCAGCCACACUGGGACUGAGACACGGCCCAGACUCCUACGGGAGGCAGCAGUGGGGAAUAUUGCACAAUGGGCGCAAGCCUGAUGCAGCCAUGCCGCGUGUGUGAAGAAGGCCUUCGGGUUGUAAAGCACUUUCAGUAAGGAGGAAAGGUUAAGUGUUAAUAGCACUUAGCUGUGACGUUACUUACAGAAGAAGCACCGGCUAACUCCGUGCCAGCAGCCGCGGUAAUACGGAGGGUGCGAGCGUUAAUCGGAAUUACUGGGCGUAAAGCGUACGCAGGCGGUUUGUUAAGCGAGAUGUGAAAGCCCCGGGCUCAACCUGGGAACUGCAUUUCGAACUGGCAAACUAGAGUGUGAUAGAGGGUGGUAGAAUUUCAGGUGUAGCGGUGAAAUGCGUAGAGAUCUGAAGGAAUACCGAUGGCGAAGGCAGCCACCUGGGUCAACACUGACGCUCAUGU